UACGGAGGGAGCUAGCGUUGUUCGGAAUUACUGGGCGUAAAGGGCUCGUAGGCGGCCAACUAAGUCGGAUGUGAAAUCCCCAGGCUUAACCUGGGAACUGCAUCCGAUACUGGAUGGCUUGAAUCCGGGAGAGGGAUGCGGAAUUCCAGGUGUAGCGGUGAAAUGCGUAGAUAUCUGGAGGAACACCGGUGGCGAAGGCGGCAUCCUGGACCGGCAUUGACGCUGAGGAGCGAAAGCCAGGGGGAGCAAAACGGGG
rnacentral:rRNA from 1 species